UCUCUCCUCUCUAGCUAUUAAUAGCUAGAUAAUAUAGCGACCUCAUUUUCAAAAAGUUGCCGUCUUGGCUCCAAACGGGCGUAUACCCUCUAUCACCUCUUAUACUCCCAUCCUCCAAAUCUUUUAAGCCUCAAACUCGGGAGUAGGGGGGCAUAUGUUGGGAGAUAAUACAUUGGCCACUACAAACUAAUCGAAGUUGGGGUCUCUGACCUUAUCCAAUGUGAUGUACCUUGAGUAUUGUCUGAAUUCCAUUGAUGACUAGUCUGGAAGUUUGCCGACCAGGCAUUCUCAUGAGAGAAAAAAAUUGAGAUAAUGCUAAGACUGUUUGGGGGAGGUAUCCU
rnacentral:lncRNA from 1 species